rnacentral:rRNA from 1 species
UAAUGUCUGGAAACGGGCACUAAUACCUUAUAAUGACUUCGGUCCAAAGAUUUAUCGCCUAAGGAUUAGCCUGCGUCCCAUCAGCUAGUUGGUAAGGUAACGGCUUACCAAGGCGAUGACGGGUAGGGGGCCUGAGAGGGUGGCCCCCCACACUGGCACUGAAACACGGGCCAGACAUCUACGGAUGGCAGCAGUAGGGAAUAUUGCACAAUGGGCGAAAGUGAUGCAGCAACCCGCGUGCGCGAAGAAGGCCUUCGGGUUGUAAAGCGCUUUUCUGGAGGAAGAGGAAGGACGGUACUCCAGGAAUAAGGAUCGGCUAACUACGUGCCAGCAGCCGCGGUAACACGUAGGAUCCGAGCGUUAUCCGAAUUUACUGGGCGUAAAGCGCGUGUAGGCGGCUGGGUAAGUUGGACGUGAAAGCUCCUGGCUCAACUAGGAGAGGUCGUUCAAAACUGCCUGGCUAGAGGGCGACAGAGGGAGGUGGAAUUCCCGGUGUAGUGGUGAAAUGCGUAGAUAUCGGGAGGAACACCAGUGGCGAAGGGGCCUCCUGGGUCGCCCCUGACGCUCAGACGCGAAAGUAGGGGAGCGAACGGGAUUAGAUACCCCGGUAGUCCUAGCUGUAAACGAUGUGAACUUGGCGUUGGUGGGGUCAAAUCCAUCAGUGCCGGAGCUAACGCGAUAAGUUCACCGCCUGGGGACUACGGUCGCAAGAUUAAAACUCAAAGGAAUUGGCGGGGGCCGCACAAGCAGCGGAUGUGGUUUAAUUCGAUGCUACACGAAGAACCUUACCCGGGUUUGACAUCCAGGUGGUAGGGAACGAAAGGGGACCGACCCUUCGGGAGCCUGG